rnacentral:rRNA from 1 species
UACGUAGGGUGCGAGCGUUGUCCGGAUUUAUUGGGCGUAAAGCGAGCGCAGGUGGUUUAAUAAGUCUGAUGUAAAAGGCGGUGGCUCAACCAUUGUGUGCAUUGGAUACUGUUAGACUUAAGUGCAGUAGAGGAGAGUGGAAUUCCAUGUGUAGCGGUGAAAUGCGUAGAUAUAUGGAGGAACACCGGUGGCGAAAGCGGCUCUCUGGACUGUAACUGACGCUGAGGCGCGAAAGCGUGGGUAGCAAACAGG